rnacentral:rRNA from 1 species
GACGAACGCUGGCGGCGUGCUUAACACAUGCAAGUCGAACGGAAAGGCCCUGCUUUUGUGGGGUGCUCGAGUGGCGAAAGGGUGAGUAACACGUGAGUAACCUGCCCUUGACUUUGGGAUAACUUCAGGAAACUGGGGCUAAUACCGGAUAGGAGCUCCUGCUGCAUGGUGGGGGUUGGAAAGUUUCGGCGGUUGGGGAUGGACUCGCGGCUUAUCAGCUUGUUGGUGGGGUAGUGGCUUACCAAGGCUUUGACGGGUAGCCGGCCUGAGAGGGUGACCGGCCACAUUGGGACUGAGAUAGGGCCCAGACUCAUACGGGAGGCAGCGGUGGGGAAUUUUGCACAAUGGGCGGAAGCCGGAUGCAGGAACGCCGCGUGCGGGAUGACGGCCUUCGGGUUGUAAACCGCUUUCGCCUGUGACGAAGCGUGAGUGACGGUAAUGGGUAAAGAAGCACCGGCUAACUACGUG